GUGGGGAAUCUUAGACAAUGGGCGCAAGCCUGAUCUAGCCAUGCCGCGUGAGUGAUGAAGGCCCUAGGGUUGUAAAGCUCUUUCAGCUGGGAAGAUAAUGACGGUACCAGCAGAAGAAGCCCCGGCUAACUCCGUGCCAGCAGCCGCGGUAAUACGGAGGGGGCUAGCGUUGUUCGGAAUUACUGGGCGUAAAGCGCGCGUAGGCGGACUGAAAAGUUGGGGGUGAAAUCCCGGGGCUCAACCUCGGAACUGCCUUCAAAACUAUCAGUCUGGAGUUCGAGAGAGGUGAGUGGAAUGCCGAGUGUAGAGGUGAAAUUCGUAGAUAGUCGGAGGAACACCAGUGGCGAAGGCGGCUCACUGGCUCGAUACUGACGCUGAGGUGCGAAAGCGUGGGGAGCAAACAGGAUUAGAAACCCUAGUAGCC
rnacentral:rRNA from 1 species